UUCGAACAAAUACAAAAACUAAAUGACAACAUCUCAUCAGAAAACCAAAAACAAAGUGCAGAUGGUAACUGGAGAGAAGCCGAUCAACUAGGGCUCACAAAUGCCAGACAACUACUAGACUGUAUUAUAAACAGCAAUGGGAUAAGGCGCUAGGACCAGAUGGCCCUACCAAUUUUCUUUUAAAGAAAUGUUUGUUAUGGAGGACAAUGAUUCUACGCAGAAGCUGCUUAAAUUAAAUUAAAUUAAAAAUAAAUUAAAGAAACUAAUGUGGACGAACGAUGUACACCAAAUCUACCUGGUUCGUUUGCUGCUACAUGGAUUUGCUCCCACGGUACUUAGUUCAUAUACACAGCUGAUAGCCCUGCGAACUGAAGACGAAGGUCAGGACGUCUAGCAACUCUACAGAGCUUGCGAGAGGAAGAAAAGAACUACGUUCUUCAGCGACCGGAACAACAUCGUCUGCUUUUACUUUCUGUCUAUUGUGACCCUUUUAUUUGUAAAGUUAAUUAAUGAUCAAGAGUGAAGUGUACACAUUAUAACCUAAUGAAUUAAAGGCUAAACUGUUAUCUCUGAACUUCAGUCGUUUACCUACUCCCAAGAGGGCCUCUUAAUAUGACAGCCGUACAUAGCAUUUUCGGCACGGCGUCUUGCUUGAAGUUGAAAAUCUCAGUUUAAUCUUACAAUUAGCACAGUCAUCAAUACCAACACACCCGGUCAGCUGACAGCGCUUCUACACACACACACGGGUGCUGCAAGAAGGCCCGAUAUAAUUCGCAACCAAGGAAAACCUCCUACUCAAAGCGAAAUCGGAAAACAGUACAGCCUGCGCUUACGCUAUAGUCAACGUUACGUAAAUUCAGGCAUAAGCAAAAGGGAAAGAUCACGUUUUGUUACGCCGUGUCGACGGUUGCCGACGCACGUGUCCACAUGCCACAACUGGAGAAGCCCGAUGAUAUUCGAUCUAUGAACAGUGCAGUCAACGUCUGCGCAGCCGCCUUAACGCGUCGCUGCAGGACGGGGAUCACUGGCUCGCGCAUUAUUUGACUGCAAAAUUACCGAAAGAAACGCACUCCGCCUGGGAACAUCAUCUCGGCAGUCAAAGAUCUCGAACAGUUUCUCAACAACCGGUUAAUCACCCUGGACGCCAUUGAAAAGUUGCACCAGCAAAUCUGGAUCAUCACUGUAUCAUCACACCACACAACGUAUCUCAGUUCAUAACACCAACGCGCAACCAAGCCCCCCUGUGCUUCGUUGUCCACACUGCAAUGGUAAUCAUAUCCUUCGUCGAUGUCCCCGAUUCCUAAGCUUGAAUUGCUAGCAACGUAAGGAGGUUGUGACUUCCCAUGCAACGCGACAGAAUAUCCUGUUGGCUACCGCACGGAUUAUUGUCUGCCACCACAGAGCGGCGCUCAAGCAUCAAUAAAUCCCCUCAUCGGGGGUCGGAAGCUACAAUAAUCUCAGAGCAUACCGUCCAAGCUCUUCAACUUCCACGAUGCGAAAUCCACGCUUCGAUCGCCGGCGUUGGCCAAACUACUGGACAACGGUGCAACUUUACGGCAAGAUGCUGCAUCCGAACUUCGCCAAACCCAACGUUUAAUCUAGAGGUCGACUCUGCGUACGUUCUGCACUCGCUAACCUCACCUCUACCAAACCAAUCGUUCUCGACUCCAAAUUGGAAAUACAUCAACGGACUCCAGCUCUCGGAUCCUCUAAACUAUAGCUCGAAGCGCUAGAUCUCAUCAUCGAAGCCGACCUCAUUGCGAGUCUUAUCCUUCCGGAAACCCGAAUCGGAAAUCCAGACGAACCUAUUGCACGAAAUUCUCACCUAAGUUGGAUGAUACUCGGCAAGUUCCAGGAUUCAAUCCACAUACUCGUACUUGUCCUUUGUCACCUAACUAAACUAUUUACCCAGUGUCACAAUAUUGGAUACUUUUCCACUAGCUGGGAGUGUGGUCGGGUAAUACCAAUACCCAAAAACAAAGCAAAGCCUGAAAGUCUCCAAGCUUAUAGACCAAUAACCAUCCACUCGGCUAUAACCCAGCUCUUUGAGAAGAUGUUGUUUUUCCAAAUAAAAAAACAUAUUGACGCAAA